rnacentral:rRNA from 1 species
UGCCAGCAGCCGCGGUAAUACAGAGGUGGCAAACGUUAUUCGGUAUCACUGGGCUUAAAGAGUUCGUAGGCGGCCAUGUAGGUCAGGUGUGAAAUCCCACAGCUCAACUGUGGAACUGCGCUUGAAACCACAUGGCUUGAGGGAGAUAGAGGUGAGCGGAACUGAUGGUGGAGCGGUGAAAUGCGUUGAUAUCAUCAGGAACACCGGUGGCGAAAGCGGCUCACUGGAUCUUUUCUGACGCUGAGGAACGAAAGCUAGGGUAGCGAACGGGAUUAGAUA